CCUAGAGGUUUCUCUCAUCCGAUCAGACCAUGUAGUCCAGAAACUUCAUUUGCAUUAAACGCAGUAUAUAAAGGAUCCCAAGAGGGGGCGGCUCGCCAUUCCAGGCUCAUCUGCCUUGGCCUGCGUAGCUGCUCUGUGCCGGGCUUAGAGGAGAAGGAGGAGGAGCCACUUGCCGCGCCUGCCAGAGGCUAGAGUCAUCUACUGCGCAUGCUGGAGGUGGAGCCUACGGUGGCUCGCCUGGCUGCUGCGGUUGGUGGCCGCGAGAGAGACUACAGCGCAGCCAGAAUGGUGAAAAGGUGGCAGAAUAGGCUUAUCUGACUUUGCCCGCCGAGUUGCUCUGUGCCAGGAGGAGAAGCCACUUAUUCCAUGCUGGAGGCUGGAGCUGGGAGCACCGCAGUUCACCUUGCUGUGGUUGGUCGUGGCGAUGGAGACUGCAAAGCACCAGAGCGAUGAGAAGGAAGACAGAGGGUUGAGGCUUGCGUUCACCUCCUUCUCAUGAGAGCUGCAGUGUGUCGGUGAAGGGAGGGCCCAGCAUCUGUGCUAUGAACCUAGGAGUGUGCUUCCUGCUUUGAAAAAACAGAAGAAGUGUAGAUUCUUCCCUUUUAUUCACCACUUUGAUAAUGGAUGAUCUGGUGCUCGGCCAUACUCCAGGGUGAACAGAACAACAUAGAGCCAGAGUGAGCUCCAGCAUGUGAGGACAUCUGACAUGCGGGAUCCACUGCGGUUAUAUUGAAUCGGCGAUCAUGAUGUGCUACAAAACAUAAACAUUUGCCCGCUGAGCACCUCCUCAGGGGGCACCUCGUUUUCUUUCAUUGCUCCGGAGGCUUCAGUGGCUCCUGAUUUCUCAGAGGGUGAGAGGUCCUGUCUUGUCAUGUCCCUUUCCUGCCCCAGGCCUGGGAUCCCCCACUGAUCCCACUUCCGUUAGUAGGAGGAGGUAUUUAAGGACCAUACUCUGGAGACUCUCUCAUGUCCCCCAUUCGAAUAAGGAAAUGGUAGCCAUCACCCCACCUGACCCACCCAAUGUAAAACCAGGUUGAGGGGUCCAGGGAUCAAGGAUGGAGCUUCCGUUUUGUUGAGGGGGACCAGCCGGGCCUCACUGGCCAGGGCCAUCCCAACU